rnacentral:lncRNA from 1 species
CAUUUCAAUAAAACGUGCAUGUGAUUUAUGCUGUAUUUACAACAGAUUUCUAAACUACUUACUUAUAUAAAAAUGGUUUUCUUACAAUUAAAUAAAUUUGUAACGCUAUUGAGCCUCAACUCUAUGCAAUUUUUCAUCUAUACUGGAAAUUAAAAACUACCUUUACCCGGUCUAAAUUGAACUUACAACUUUGGGAUGCUAACAC